GGUGUUCUUCCCAAGGGAAUUCUCAACCAGACUCUUUCUAGACCAAGAAUUGUGUAUCUCUCAAAGGAUUGCCCAGCACUGCAGCCCGUUAAGAGGGUGACUGGUAAAGGGGGUGCUGCUUGCAUCUGAAGUGAGACUUCAUCCUAGUGGACCUUAUCCUAGUGGGGUGUCCUUCUGCAUUCAGCAGCCUUCCUCCUCAAUGAUGCCACCCUCGGAUAGGGCUGCUUGUUACAAAUUGGAGGGGAAAACGGUUAAGAUCAGACUGGCCUCAGAGUCACAUACAGCCACUUGACUCUGCCUCUCACUAUGGGUGAAGACUUGUGCCACCUUGUCUGAUGUUGCUGAAGAAAGCAGCUCCUUCAGACUCUACUAGGUGUGGCCUUCAGGAAAUUUAUUUCCACACUGGCCAAACUUUAUCAUUCCUCAGAAGAUGGAAAUAAAGACUUUUGUAGGUUGAAAACCCUUAAGUCCUCAUAUUUGCAGUUAAUUUAAAAACUUAAGAAGACACAGGGUAGAAGAGCCAGGACACAGCUGUGGACAUCAGCGCUCUGCUCCUACUUUGUGAACUUAAGCUUUGCUUUGUAUUUCUUGUCUACAUCUUCCCUGGAAGAACAGUGCACAGAUGAACACACAGACAAGUCAGUCAGCAGAAGCUGUUAGGCAUUUCACCACAUUGCUAUGGACAUCAACUUUGAAGAAGCUGCCUGACCCAGCAAGUAAGACCCGAUUAGCAAGCUUUCUGUGUUAACUGAGGAGCACUGAGGUCACCCAGGCUGCACUCAAGACAAACAGGCUGCCCCUCCUUAGCACACCAGCACUGGUGGCCUGGCUCCAUCUUCUUCCACUUCACUCUCAUGCCAGCUCCUCUCCUUGGAUUUGGAGUUCCUGAGGUUCUUUCUUUUCUCACUGUGUAGAUCAGGCCAGCCUGAAUCUUCCUGCUUUUAUGCCCCACACCCUGAGUGUUGGAAGCAUGACAGGAGCCAUACAGCCCAAAUGGACUUUGCAUGGUCUGCUUGAGCUCUCUUGUUGGUGUGCAAUGGAAUCAGGAGGGGCAGCAGCUCCAAACCCUAUCCUGUCUCUAGAAUAACUGAAGUGGGAAAGGCUCCUAUCUUCAUCUGCCAACACUCUCAAGACAAUGUUUAUGGUUGUCAAGGUUCUCUCUCAGAAUUUUACAGUGGGAUCCCAGGAACAAGGGGCUCUUGCUGAUUACAUCAUGGGGGGUCUACAAACUCUUGUGUGGCAGCUGGUAGGCACUUCCUUUUCCAAUUGAUUGUUUGUAUGAAGUCAGACUUUAUAUGACUCAAUAAAACAAUGAUGUAGGACAGUAUGAACAAAAAGCAGAUCUGGGAAUCAAGAUGUCAGCUACUAAAGAGAUCUUGAAACUUUCAUCAGGUGUCAAUUUCUCUUACUAAUCAUUUUGUUUUGAAAAGGAUGGGUUUACUGGCCAGACCUGUAAACAUACGUUUAAUUCAAGCACUUGGGAGGCGGGAGGAUCAGGGGUUCAAAGUCAUCUUACCUACACAAAGAAUUUGAGUCAACCUGAAGUGCAUGAGACUCUGUUUUAAAACACCCUCAACUUAAACCCGUUUCCUUAUUCCCCAAAUGAAAUCAAAACAAAGCAAAAUCAACAGAAUUACUUCAAAAAGUGUGAUACUUGUGUAAACAUACAAUAUAGUAAGUGGGUUAUGACUUGCAAGAUUUAAAAUACUUCAGUUCUAAUUUUUAAGAAGAUGAACAUGAACAGAUACAAUAAAC